rnacentral:tRNA from 2 species
GGCUCCAUGGUCAAGCGGUUAAGACACCGCCCUUUCACGGCGGUAACACGAGUUCGAUUCUCGUUGGAGUCACCA